GUGCGAGACCGAUAGCGAACAAGUACCGUGAGGGAAAGAUGAAAAGAACUUUGAAAAGAGAGUUAAAGAGUACCUGAAACUGCUGAAAGGGAAGCGAAUCGUAUCCAGUGUCUAUAAUCUGCGGCAUAUUUCAUUGGCGGCGGUGCGCGUGCUUUUGCGUCGGAAGCGGCUUUUGUUGCUCUGUGCUUUUGCUGUGCGUGGUGUUGCUGGUGCCCUGUGUUGCGGUGGGACGUCAGAGUCAGUUCGUAUGCUGCGGGAAAUGGCCGCCGAGGAGGUAGGUCGAGAUUUCGGUCUUGGCUGUUAUAUCUUGGUGGUUUGUUGUCGUGGUUGAGACUGAGGUGCCUACAAUGUGCUUUUGAGUGUACCGGGUUCUCAUUUGGUGGACUGUUUGGAUAGCUUGCUAUGCUUGUGGUUUUUUCAUCGAGUGAUUGAGUCUGGUGGUAACUUGUUGCUGUUCGGGACUUUGA
rnacentral:rRNA from 2 species